UACGAGGGGGGCAAGCGUUGUUCGGAAUUAUUGGGCGUAAAGGGUGCGUAGGCGGUUUGGUAAGUCUUAUGUGAAAUCCCACGGCUCAACCGUGGAACUGCUUGGUAUACUGGUUAUCUUGAGCCACUUAGGGGCGAGCGGAACAAAUGGUGGAGCGGUGAAAUGCGCAGAUAUCAUUUGGAACACCAAUGGUGAAAACAGCUCGCUGGGAGUGUGCUGACGCUGAGACACGAAAGCCAGGGGAGCGAACGGG
rnacentral:rRNA from 1 species